UAACGCAGUAAAGAUUGCCGAAAAAUUGAGUGUUUGUGGUGACGUUUUGUUUAUCACGAAGUGUUUAUAGGCAAGCGUGGUGGCUGAGAACAGGCGAAAUGGUUCUUCGUUUACUCAUCGAGAGGUAUUGAUGGACAUAAUAUUCCAUCAUGAAAAUUUUUUUUAGAAAGAUGAGAAUGGAGCUGAGGGGUUUGCUACAAGAAUGUGCAGGGUCAACCACACACUAAGAUUUUUCUGACAUGAAUAAGAUAAAGAAGCUCAAUGAAAAUGCAUGGAAUUACCUCAACAAAUGGUUUAGGAAGUCUUGGACAAAGUCAACCUUCCGCUAUAAUGCAAAACUAGACAACAUUUGUAACAAUGCGUGCCAGGACUUUAAUGUACGAAUCAAAGAAACAUGGGCCAAGUCAAUCAUCAUUCUUCUAAAGAAGUAAGAAUGUUUGUUAUGAGAUCCAUAGCAAAAAAUAAAUUUAAGCAUGCCAACCACAUAGGGAGACUACCACCUGUAAUUCAGAGUAGGUUGGAUGAGAUUAGAAAAGAAUCAAAGAAUUGGCUAUCAAUAUGGACUGGAGAUGAUGUUUAUGAGAAGUUUGAGGUCCAUGAAUACCUAACAAAUAUAGUGGUUGACUUGGUGAAGAACUAUGUACCUGCCAAAUCUAGAUGCUAACAGAUUAUCUUUUUAAUACAAUGUUCACUAUUAUUAAUUCAUAAAUAGCAUUUUGUUUAUAAUAGCUUAGUUUAGUUUAUUAACUAAACUCUCAAUCUGUAGGGAUACCAUGUCAUCAUGUUUGUCCUACUCUGGCAAUGGUCAAUAAGAAGCCAGAUGAUUUUUCUUUCAUA